UUUAGAAAAACCGUACCGCAAACCGACACAGGUAGGCAGGGUGAGAAUCCCAAGGCGCUUGAGAGAACUCGGGUGAAGGAACUAGGCAAAAUGGCACCGUAACUUCGGGAGAAGGUGCGCCUCUUGGUGUGGUCACGUGCGUGACUGAGCAUCGAGGGGUCGCAGUAACCUGGCCGCUGCGACUGUUUAUCAAAAACACAGCACUCUGCAAACACGAAAGUGGACGUAUAGGGUGUGACGCCUGCCCGGUGCUGGAAGGUUAAUUGAUGGGGUCAGCCGCAAGGCGAAGCUCUUGAUCGAAGCCCCAGUAAACGGCGGCCGUAACAAUAACGGUCCUAAGGUAGCGAAAUUCCUUGUCGGGUAAGUUCCGACCUGCACGAAUGGCGUAACGACAGCGGCGCUGUCUCCACCCGAGACUCAGUGAAAUUGAAAUCGCUGUGAAGAUGCAGCGUUCCCGCGGCAAGACGGAAAGACCCCGUGAACCUUUACUAUAGCUUUACACUGAACGUUGAGUUCUUCUGUGUAGGAUAGGUGGGAGGCUAUGAAACCAGGACGCUAGUUCUGGUGGAGCCAUCCUUGAAAUACCACCCUGAAGUGCUUGACGUUCUAACCUAGGUCCGUAAUCCGGAUCGGGGACCGUGUAUGGUGGGUAGUUUGACUGGGGCGGUCUCCUCCCAAAGAGUAACGGAGGAGCACGAAGGUACGCUCAGCGCGGUCGGACAUCGCGCACUGUGUGCAAAGGCAUAAGCGUGCUUGACUGCGAGAUCGACGGAUCAAGCAGGUACGAAAGUAGGUCUUAGUGAUCCGGUGGUUCUGUAUGGAAGGGCCAUCGCUCAACGGAUAAAAGGUACUCCGGGGAUAACAGGCUGAUACCGCCCAAGAGUUCAUAUCGACGGCGGUGUUUGGCACCUCGAUGUCGGCUCAUCACAUCCUGGGGCUGUAGCCGGUCCCAAGGGUAUGGCUGUUCGCCAUUUAAAGUGGUACGCGAGCUGGGUUCAGAACGUCGUGAGACAGUUCGGUCCCUAUCUGUCGUGGGCGUUGGAGAUUUGAGGGGGGCUGCUCCUAGUACGAGAGGACCGGAGUGGACGUUCCGCUGGUGUUCGGGUUGUCAUGCCCAUGGCAUUGCCCGGUAGCUACGAACGGAAGUGAUAACCGCUGAAAGCAUCUAAGCGGGAAGCACGCCCCAAGAUGAGAUCUCCCGAGAGCUUGACUCUCCUAAAGGCACCAUCAAGACUAGGUGGUUGAUAGGCACGGUGUGGAAGUGCAGCAAUGCAUUGAGCUUACGUGUACUAAUGAGCCGUGAGGCUUGAUCAA
rnacentral:rRNA from 1 species